rnacentral:rRNA from 1 species
CCUACGGGGGGCUGCAGUGGGGAAUAUUGGACAAUGGGCGAAAGCCUGAUCCAGCCAUGCCGCGUGUGUGAAGAAGGCCUUCGGGUUGUAAAGCACUUUCAGUGGGGAAGAAAGCCUUGGGGCUAAUACCCUCGAGGAAGGACAUCACCCACAGAAGAAGCACCGGCUAACUCCGUGCCAGCAGCCGCGGUAAUACGGAGGGUGCGAGCGUUAAUCGGAAUUACUGGGCGUAAAGCGCGCGUAGGCGGUCUGAUAAGCCGGUUGUGAAAGCCCCGGGCUCAACCUGGGAACGGCAUCCGGAACUGGCAGGCUAGAGUGCAGGAGAGGAAGGUAGAAUUCCCGGUGUAGCGGUGAAAUGCGUAGAGAUCGGGAGGAAUACCAGUGGCGAAGGCGGCCUUCUGGACUGACACUGACGCUGAGGUGCGAAAGCGUGGGUAGCAAACAGGACUAGAUACCCGAGUAGUC